GGUAUUUUGACCGUGCAAAGGUAGCAUAAUCAUUAGUUUUUUAAUUGAAAGCUGGAAUGAAAGGUUGGAUGAAAAAUAAGCUGUCUCUAUUUAAUUUUAUUAGAAUUUUAUUUUUGAGUUAAAAAGCUUAAAUUUAAAUAGAAGACGAGAAGACCCUAUAGAGUUUUAUUUAUUAUUUUAAUAAGAUUAAUAGUAUUAAUUAUUUUUAUUAAUAAAGGUAAAUUUAGUUGGGGUGAUUGAAAAAUUUAAUUAACUUUUUUUAUAUAUAAACAUAUAUGUAUGAUUAAUUGAUCCUUAAUUUAAGAUUAAAAGAUAAAAUUACCUUAGGGAUAACAGCGUAAUUUUUUUUGAGAGUUCAAAUCGAAAAAAAAGAUUGCGACCUCGAUGUUGGAUUAAAAUAAAAUUUUGGUGUAGAAGCUAAAA
rnacentral:rRNA from 1 species